rnacentral:tRNA from 1 species
GGCCCCAUCGUCUAGAGGCCUAGGACAUCAGAUUUUCAAUCUGGUAACACGGGUUCGAAUCCCGUUGGGGCUA